CCUACGGGUGGCAGCAGUGAGGAAUAUUGGUCAAUGGGCGGAAGCCUGAACCAGCCAAGUCGCGUGAGGGAUUAAGGCCCUGCGGGUCGUAAACCUCUUUUGCCGGGGAGCAGAGGUCCGGACGUGUCCGGGCCGGGAGAGUACCCGGAGAAAAAGCAUCGGCUAACUCCGUGCCAGCAGCCGCGGUAAUACGGAGGAUGCGAGCGUUAUCCGGAUUUAUUGGGUUUAAAGGGUGCGUAGGUUGUUUUUUAAGUCAGCGGUGAAAGUUUGUGGCUCAACCAUAAAAUUGCCGUUGAAACUGGAAGACUUGAGUGUGUUUGAGGUAGGCGGAAUGCGUGGUGUAGCGGUGAAAUGCAUAGAUAUCACGCAGAACUCCGAUUGCGAAGGCAGCUUACUAAGCCAUAACUGACACUGAAGCACGAAAGCGUGGGGAUCAAACAGGAUUAGAUACCCGUGUAGUC
rnacentral:rRNA from 1 species